AGUCAUGUUAUGACCUGCCCCUCAUAGAAACAAUGCAGAGAUUGAGGCCUCCCUGGUACAAGUUGACGUAUUGAAACAAAGAAAGAUUAAUAGUUAAACUGUACCAGACCUAGAUGAGCAGUGGUCCACGACUAGGCAAAGAUCUGUAUGCCCCCCAUAGAAGAUUAAUGGUAGAGAUAGCCCUCAGCAAAAGUCUAAAACAAUUCUGGGUAUGACCUCCCCUGAGAACAGGGCGAUACUAAGUAUUGUACCAUUCUUUACAGUUAUAGGGGAGUAACAUGUAGCCUGCCAAAGCCACAAGACUAAGCUGGUUGUUUAGGCAACCUGAAUGUAACCUGAAAAAAGUAUAAAAGCUAAAGCAGUUUCACUAUUAAAAUGAGUCCAGAUUCACCCUCCAAUAGAGUGUGGUGUCUAUCUGUUCUCCCUCGUGCUGACUCCUGACCCACCGGGGAGGUUGCCUUCAAGACCCCUGACCCUCCUGCUGCUCAUCCACUGUGGUGAUCCGCGGCAUGCAAGUACUGUAUGCUACUGCUGGGCUUCAUCCCAGGUAGACAAUCAGGUUCCUGUGCGUGAUAAUGUGUGUACUCUACUGGUUGUCCCAUCUCCCAGUCCCAUAUAUAAAAAGGAGAAGAAGAAGGAGAAUAAGAAGGAGGAGGAGGAGGAGGAGGAGGAGGAGGAGGAGGAAGAGAAGGAGAAGAAAAAAGACCAUCUACAAUGGUGCUCCCUGGAGAAAGACUGCUGUCAAUGCACAAUAAGUGUGUUACCGGAAAGAAAAAAAAAUGUUAGGAGAAAAACAAAAUUAUGCCUACUAAUCUCCAGAUAUGGCCACAAUCCAAGUGAAAUAAAAUAGGAACAGAUGGAGAAGAACUCUAUGCUUUCUUUUCUGAAAUAUAAGAGAUAAGAAUGAGAAGUAGCCAGGGGUACUAAUAUUUUAUAGUCUCAAUGUACUCAGGAUAGAGAACUUGAAGAACAUGCAUUAGACAAUGUAUAGAUUGAUUUAUAAGCUGCCAUGAGUCAGAGGAAUAAAUUGUUUUCAUUUU